ensembl:lncRNA
ACACACCUACUACUAUGUAUAAAGCAACUAAUGAGAGCCUACUGUAUAGCCCAGGGACCUCUACUCAAUGCUCCUUGGUAACCUAAAUGGGAAGGAAAUCUGAAAAAGAGGGGAUAUAUGCAUACACAUAACUCACUCACUUCACUGUAUAGUGGAAACUAACACAACACUGGAAAGUAACUAUCCUCCAGUAAAAAUUAGCUAAAAAAAAACUCCCCUACCCAAGUCUUGUGACUGACGCCUGAAAUUCCAUAUUACAGGCACCUUUCAUCACUUCAGAACAUUUGAUCACUGAGUAAAUAAAAAUGCAUACUAGACUAAAAAUAUUUUAAGCAAUUAUGAAAAAAAGAAGUUGGAAUUUCUUCUCCAGACUAAUAUUUCUACUUUCUGACACUUAAAAGAAAGCAGUUCCUAAAGAAGAAUUCUGCAGCAAUAUAUUCAAAGUUUGCCACCCUAGAACCAAAUCGUAACAUGCCUUUCUUCCAAAUGCAGCCUCAUUUAGUAUCACAGUGUACCAGCCAAAUAGGCUGCAGACCAUGCCAGCCCCGUCUGACAAAUGGAGGCCUGAGUGUCAUCCCAGCCUCUCCUGAUGCAGAGAAAAUGAAAGGAAGCAGUGACAGCCAUGUAUUCUACUCAUUUCUUGAAAAUGCAUUUGUGAGCUCACAUGUCAAUGGCCAACUCCUUUAAGCAGGUUCGGAGUAAACAAGUAGAAUACACUGGGAAGGCUGGUCCUUAUGAUUCAGAUUUAACAGUCUCGUAGAGCAACUGCAGAGGUUCAAAAUGCAUGUAAGUCUAGUUGAUCCCAGACUCACCUGACUCCUUUUGUCCUCUUGGAGUUGUAGAAAUACCUGCCCAGAUUGGCAGGUGUUGACUAGAACAGAGACAGUGGAGCAAGAGAGAGGAGCCCCAAACCCUAAGUCUUUAUAUACACUCUCUCUUUCGGUCCAAACAUCCUCUUCACUCUGAUUGGCUUCCGGUUCCCUCACUGCCCCUUGCCUUUGAAGCGUUCUGGACUCAGCAGCACCCAAGGUUAAUGUCUCCAACUUGCCCGCAGCACCUACGCAUGUCCUGGGCAUGCACGUGUUAUUUCCAGUGACCCAGAGUGACAGUGGGAAGUAGCUUCUUGUAACUCCUUUUCCUGGAGACUUGUCUCUCCUUUGCACUGUUUGUCCUGGCUCUGCUAAAAGGCUAAGGGAGGAUAUCUAUUCUUUUCACCAACAGGUUAUAAAACACAACACAGUUCAGUUUUAGAAGGAUGGUCGACAUGACUCUCAUAUCACUGCCAGGAAGAAACCUCAGGUUCCGUAUUUGAACCCCCUACCUUGUAUUCCAAAUCAAGCACCUCCGAAAAAAUGAUGCACCCAUUACUGCCUUUUCCCUUGUCAUCCCUCCUCCGACUAACAACAUUUUCCUUUCCUAAUAUUACUUUUUUCGUUUUUCUUCUUUAUAAAGUUUUCUUUAUAAAGUUUCUUCACACCUCAUUGUAGAAUGAACACAUGUGACUUCCAGAGAACAAUAAUUGGAGUAAUUCUGUUUGUCAUUCUAUCCUCAUUUUUUAACUACAAAAAUGAAUAUUCAGG